rnacentral:misc_RNA from 1 species
GCAAACUUGGUCAUUUAGAGGAAGUAAAAGUCGUAACAAGGUUUCCGUAGGUGAACCUGCGGAAGGAUCAUUACAAAUCCACGUCUCUUUUCGAGACCGUUGAACUGUUUUUUUUUUUGUCCAGGCAAAAUAUUUUUUUUUUUGCCUUGAUAUACAUUUUUGUUAUAUUUAUGUACGAGUUGAAACAAACUAUAACAACUUAUAACAAUGGAUCUCUAGGCUCUUGCAUCGAUGAAGAACGCAGC